rnacentral:rRNA from 1 species
CCUACGGGAGGCAGCAGUGAGGAAUAUUGGUCAAUGGGCGGAAGCCUGAACCAGCCAAGUAGCGUGCAGGAUGACGGCCCUACGGGUUGUAACCUGCUUUUAUACGGGAAUAACGCGCCUUACGUGUAGGGCUUUGCAUGUACCGUAUGAAUAAGGACCGGCUAAUUCCGUUCCAGCAGCCGCGGUAAUUUGGAAGGUCCGGGCGUUAUCCGGAUUUAUUGGGUUUAAGGGGAGCGUAGGCCGCAUGUCAAGCGUGCUGUGAAAUGUCCGGGCUCAACCCGGGCCUUGCAUCGCGAACUGGCGGGCUUGAGUCCGCGGAAGGCAGGCGGAAUUCGUCGUGUAGCGGUGAAAUGCGUAGAGAUGACGAAGAACCCCGAUGGCGAAGGCAGCUUGCUGCAGCGGAACUGACGCUGAUGCUCGAAAGCGCGGGUAUCGAACAGGAUUAGAUACCCUGGUAGUC